rnacentral:rRNA from 1 species
GUUAAACAUAAAGAGCGUAGGGUGGAUGCCUAGGCACUAAGAGCCGAUGAAAGACGCGAUAAGCUGCGAAAAGCUGCGGCAAGGAGCAAAUAUCCUUUGACCCGCAGAUGUCUGAAUGGGGAAACCUACUUAAGAAGACCUUAAGUAUCCAUGGGUGAAUAAAAUAGUCCAUGGAAGGGAACCCGGUGAACUGAAACAUCUAAGUAGCCGGAGGAAGAGAAAGAAAAAUCGAUUUUGGGAGUAGUGGCGAGCGAAACCGAAAGAGCCUAAACCAUUGUGCGAGCACGAUGGGGUUAUGGACUGCAUAAAGUCAAAGACUUGUUACCGGAAAGGAUAUGGAAAGACCUGCCAAAGAGCGUGAGAGCCGCGUAGGGGAAAACAAGUCAAGACAAGCAGUAUCCGAAGUACCAUAAGACACGAGAAACCUUGUGGGAAGUCGGGGGGACCACCCCCCAAGGCUAAAUACUACUUAGUGACCGAUAGCGCAUAGUACUGUGAAGGAAAGGUGAAAAGGACCCCGGGAGGGGAGUGAAAGAGAACCUGAAACCCUAUGUUUACAAGCUGUGGAAGUGCGAUACAUGAACGCACAACCGCGUACUUUUUGUAGAACGGUCCGGCGAGUUGCCGGUGCUGGCAAGGUUAAGGACUACAGGUCCGGAGCCGAAGGGAAACCGAGUCUUAAUAGGGCUUACAGUCAGCAUCGGCAGACCCGAAACCGGGUGAUCUAUCCAUGUCCAGGUUGAAGUCCCCGUAAAAGGGGAUGGAGGACCGAACACACAUCCGUUGAAAAGGGUGGUGAUGAGGUGUGGAUAGGGGAGAAAUUCCAAUCGAACCCGGAGAUAGCUGGUUCUCCUCGAAAUAGUUUUAGGACUAGCCUUAAUUUAGUCUGAUGGAGGUAGAGCACUGAAUUUUUGCGGGGGCGUCAAAGCUUACCAAUGAAUAUCAAACUGCGAAUGCCAUACAGAUGAUGAUUAGGAGUCAGACUACACGAGAUAAGUUGGGUAGUCGAAAGGGAAAGAGCCCAGAUCUACGGCUAAGGUCCCAAAGUGAGUGUUAAGUGGAAAAGGAUGUAGGAUCUCAUAGACAACUAGGAUGUUGGCUUAGAAGCAGCCAUACAUUAAAAGAGUGCGUAAUAGCUCACUAGUCGAGAGGUUCUGCGCCGAAAAUGUCCGGGGCUAAAACACUACACCGAAGCCAAGGGAUGACGAAAGUCAUCGGUAGAGGAGCAAUCUUACCGACGUAGAAGCCAUACCGAAAGGAGUGGUGGAGAAGUAAGAAGAGAGAAUGCCGGAAUGAGUAGCGAGAGUGAGGUGAGAAUCCUCACGGCCAAAUACCCAAGGAUUCCAGAGUAAAGCUGAUCUGCUCUGGGUAAGUCGGGACCUAAGGCGAGGGAGAGAUCCGUAGUCGAUGGACAGCAGGUUCAUAUUCCUGCACCUGACAUGAUCAGAACUGUGGGGACACAGGAACAAAACCGGACCCGGGAGAGCAAAGACCGGGCGAAGCGAAGUUAGGAGUGCGGUAGGCAAAUCCGCCGCACAAUCCGAAAGCGUGACAGGAAGCGAAAUAUAAGUAGCGAAGCCGGUGGAGGGACUGUCGAGAAAAGCCGCUAUUGUAUCAUGUCAGCCCGUACCGCAAACCGACACAGGUGGAUGAGGAGAGAAUCCUAAGGCCGGCGGGAGAAGCAUUGUUAAGGAACUCGGCAAAAUGACCCCGUAACUUCGGGAGAAGGGGUGCUGCAGAGAUGCAGCCGCAGAGAAAAGGCUCAAGCAACUGUUUAGCAAAAACACAGGUCUAUGCGAAACCGAAAGGUGAAGUAUAUGGGCUGACGCCUGCCCGGUGCUGGAAGGUUAAGAGGAGAGGUUAGCGAAAGCGAAGCUUUGAAUUUAAGCCCCAGUAAACGGCGGCCGUAACUAUAACGGUCCUAAGGUAGCGAAAUUCCUUGUCGGGUAAGUUCCGACCCGCACGAAAGGCGUAAUGAUUUGAGCGCUGUCUCAACAAUGCACCCGGUGAAAUUGAAGUACCAGUGAAGAUGCUGGUGACCUGCGCCAGGACGGAAAGACCCCAUGGAGCUUUACUCCAGCUUGAUACCGGGAUUCGGUGUUACUCGUACAGGAUAGGUGGGAGGCUAAGAAGGAAGGACGCCAGUCUUUCCGGAGCCGCUGUUGGGAUACCACCCCUGUGGCACUGGAUUUCUAACCUACAUCCGUAAUCCGGAUGGGGGACAAUGUCAGGUGGGGAGUUUGACUGGGGCGGUCGCCUCCGAAAGAGUAUCGGAGGCGCUCAAAGGUUCCCUCAGAAUGGUCGGAAACCAUUCAAAGAGUGCAAAGGCAGAAGGGAGCUUGACUGCGACACCGACGGGUGGAGCAGGUACGAAAGUAGGACUUAGUGAUCCGGUGGUAUAAAGUGGGAUUGCCAUCGCUCAACGGAUAAAAGCUACCCUGGGGAUAACAGGCUUAUCACUCCCAAGAGUUCACAUCGACGGAGUGGUUUGGCACCUCGAUGUCGGCUCAUCGCAUCCUGGGGCUGAAGUCGGUCCCAAGGGUUGGGCUGUUCGCCCAUUAAAGCGGUACGCGAGCUGGGUUCAGAACGUCGUGAGACAGUUCGGUCCCUAUCCGGCGUGGGCGUAAGAUAUUUGAGAGGAGCCGUCCUUAGUACGAGAGGACCGGGACGGACUGACCGCUGGUGUACCUGUUGGAGAGUAACUCCAUGGCAGGGUAGCUAUGUCGGGACGGGAUAAACGCUGAAGGCAUCUAAGCGUGAAGCCCCCCUCAAGAUGGGAUAUCUCAUGCGAAAGCGGUAAGACCCCUUGAAGACGACAAGGUAGAUAGGAGAGAGGUGUAAGCGUGGCGACACGUUCAGCUGACUCUUACUAAUCGGUCGAGGGUUUAACCAA